GUGAAAAACUAAGACACAGAGCAGUUAAAAGAUCUAAUGACAGAACUCAGAAUGGAACACAGGUCUCCUACUUCUAGACUCAUGUUUUUGAGGAGAUCCGUGGAUCAGCAUCUCUCCUGGUCAGGACCACAGAGGCCUUCCACCCGCUGUGUGAAGCCUCGUUGGAUGCCAGCUUCAAAAGCAAAAGUAAUUUCAUUCUUUUUUAUGGCUGUGUAGUAUUCCAUCGUGUAAGUGUACCACGUUUUAUCUAAUCCACCAUUGAUGGGUCACAUGGGCUGGUUUCGUGUCUUUGAAAAGCCACAAAGUUUUAAAGAACAACAGGUUAUUAACCUUAAGCAGCUCGUGAAUGGGCUUCAGGGGAUCUAUAAGCUGUCUGAGAUAGUGUAAAGUGUGUU
rnacentral:lncRNA from 10 species